GACAGAGCAGCCGCGGGAAUACGAAGGGUGCAAGCGUUAAUCGGAAUUACUGGGCGUAAAGCGUGCGUAGGCGGUUUGUUAAGUCUGUUGUGAAAUCCCCGGGCUCAACCUGGGAAUGGCAAUGGAUACUGGCAAGCUAGAGUGUGUCAGAGGAUGGUGGAAUUCCCGGUGUAGCGGCGAAAUGCGUAGAGAUCGGGAGGAACAUCAGUGGCGAAGGCGGCCAUCUGGGACAACACUGACGCUGAGGCACGAAAGCGUGGGGAGCAAACAAGAUUAGAUACCCCCGUAGUCCCUGUCUCUUAUACA
rnacentral:rRNA from 1 species